GUAUGAAUUCUUCUUCUUUUUCUUCAAUACCAAUUUUGGCGGGAGAUGAUCCAUCUCCCGAGGAGUCUCGGCCUUCAGAAACCCUAGAUACAGAUAACAGUGGUGUUGUUUCCAGUCAAGACAAGUCUGAGCCUUCCACGUCUUCCUCCACUUCGAAUGUUGUGGAAUCUGAGUUCAUUCUUCAGAGUUCAGAGGCUUUGACUAAAAGGAUCUCUUUUAUGCUCGGGUCCUUAAUUAAGGAUUUCGAUUGUAAAGCUGAAAAUGCGGUUAAAAGCCAAGAUCAGCUCUGCUCCGAAAUUGAUCGACUAAGUAAAGAGCUUGAUCUAUUACUAGAAAAUGCACCCUUGCCAUUCAUCAUGCAGCAUGCAGCCAAAAUUUCAGGUGUUCGUAAGAGAGUAUCAUCAUUGAACUCACUUUUAAAAUCGAUACAACUGCGUAUUUAUAAUAUAGAUCGGAUGCUAUCUGCAGGCUUGUCACAUGGAAAAGCAACUGCAGAAAAUGCUGGGCAACAUUAAUAGUUACUGGGUAUUGCAGUUGCAGAUGCAAUCCUCACUCUUUGUCUGGUCCAUUUGACAAGGCAAUCCAAAACGCUAAUCACGAACACCGGUUCUGGUUUCAUUUGGUUCUUCAAGGCAGUGGUGGCACUGAGGCUACAUGUGGAUUUGAAGGAGAUGAAA